rnacentral:tRNA from 2 species
UCCCGGCUAGCUCAGUCGGUAGAGCGUCAGACUUUUAGCCCGGUCUGUCCGCAAAGGCGGAUUUGAGGUCCAUCUGAACGUCAUGGGUUCGAGCCCCAUGUCGGGAG